UACGAAGGGGGCUAGCGUUGCUCGGAAUCACUGGGCGUAAAGGGUGCGUAGGCGGGUCUUUAAGUCAGGGGUGAAAUCCUGGAGCUCAACUCCAGAACUGCCUUUGAUACUGAAGAUCUUGAGUUCGGGAGAGGUGAGUGGAACUGCGAGUGUAGAGGUGAAAUUCGUAGAUAUUCGCAAGAACACCAGUGGCGAAGGCGGCUCACUGGCCCGAUACUGACGCUGAGGACGAAGCGACGGGAGGCAAA
rnacentral:rRNA from 1 species